GACGAACGCUGGCGGCGUGCCUAACACAUGCAAGUCGAACGGAAGUUAGAGCUUCGGUUUUAACUUUAGUGGCGAACGGGUGAGUAACGCGUGAGGAACCUGCCUUUCAGUGGGGGACAACAGUUGGAAACGACUGCUAAUACCGCAUGAUACUUUUGGGAGACAUCUCCUGGAAGUCAAAGCUUUAUGUGCUGAAAGAUGGCCUCGCGUCUGAUUAGCUAGUUGGUGAGGUAACGGCUCACCAAGGCGACGAUCAGUAGCCGGUCUGAGAGGAUGAACGGCCACAUUGGGACUGAGAUACGGCCCAGACUCCUACGGGAGGCAGCAGUGGGGAAUAUUGCGCAAUGGGGGGGAACCCUGACGCAGCAACGCCGCGUGCGGGAAGGAGGCCUUCGGGUCGUAAACCGCUUUCAGCAGGGAAGAGCACAGACGGUACCUGCAGAAGAAGCCCCGGCUAACUACGUGCCAGC
rnacentral:rRNA from 1 species